AAAGUCCCGUCCAAGGAAUUGUCCAUACGCCUUGGUAGCACGAAGGAGCGGCAUUCAAGUAAUUGAGUGACGUGAGUUUCUAAACGACAAAGAUGCAGGCCGUAACGCAAGUGAACCUAGAAGUAGCCUCGUAAACUAAAUGCGGUUGCCGACCUCGUGUCUGUAUAGGGAAGGCCGAAGUGAUAGUGUGCUGGUAAUGGAAGCCACACUAGCGAGCCGUCGGGGUAGCAGGGUC
rfam:Nitrosomonas communis strain Nm2, complete genome.